GGGCUAGAAGAACAGUGGGGGUGGGAGAGGCACUGCCCUUCCAGGUAGGUCAGCAAUCUGCCGAGGAGGGGAGGCAGGUUCCUACCUUCAGGUGCUGCUCUGAUGGAGCUCCUUAGAGAUCAAAUGCCCCGCUGUGGCCAGCUUGGGCUCCAGCUCCCGCUGGACACAGAUAAGGCCUUCGGGAUGGGCUUAGAGCCACCUCAGCCAAAAGGCCUGCCCUCCCCGUUCGUGUCUGGUGUCUCAGUGCCAAUACCACCAAACUCAAACCUCUGCUCUACCACAUGCAAGGAGGGACUCUGUUCCCAGAAAACUACAGCUGAGUGGUGGCUCAGCUCCAAGGGUCCCCUCACCAGCAGGUCUCGCUUAUUCCCAGAUAGCCCUUUGACAACGACCCUCAGUGAGGGGCCGGUACUCAGAGCUUUGCCAUGUGCAUGCAAGUGCAAAAGAGUGUGUAUGUGUGGUGUGAGAGAGAAGGGAGCUGGGGGAAUGUGCAGGGAGGAGUGUACGUGCACCCAGGUGUGACCCAAAAACCUAGACUAGGUCAGAAAGACUUAGGUUAGUCUUGGGUGCUGGGCAGCUCUGGAAGGAGCUGAGCAGCUCCUGGGAGAAGUUCCCACCAACCUGUCUUGCCUCUGUGCUGGAAGGAGAGACAACAGAUGUUAGGUAACUAGAGGCGUGCAGCCCCCUGUGCCCAACUACCUGCCUAUCAAGCCCUGGGUUCUUCUCCAUAGUUAUCAGCCCACUACAACCCACACGGCCAGACUCCCUAGCCAGCAGCCCCAUGUUCUGGGGCUACUGUGUUGUACAAGCCUGACAGUGCCGUUUACAGGCGCUACUUGGAAACCUGCUUCUGGGCAGCAGUGGACAUGUGGGCGCCAGGCAGCAGAAGGGCCAGGGCAGAGAUGACCUGCAGAAAUGUGAGCAGAGGGCUUCUCAGCUACAGGCUCCAAUACCUCAGUCAGCCCUACCCUGGAACCUGAAACCUUCGCUUGAACAACUCAGACAUUUUAAAAGAUUCAUCAAGUGCUAUGAAGUGGUGCUACAGCCUUACUACUCAGCCUUUUCUAUUUGUGUGUGCACCCGUACACAGUCCCAACCCAGGAGAGCUAAUAUGGAGAAGACUGGGGCCUUCUAGAGUUCUGAUGUCUGGGGCUUUUAUGCUCCAGUAACUAGAAGGCUGCCCCUUGGCCUCUCACGGCCCACACCACUGACAGGCACCCAGGACUGCUCAACGGCUAAGACCGCCACGGCCAAAGGAGCCCCCAGGAAGUAAGAGCAAGAAGCAAGAGGUGAUGGCUUUGCCAGAGGCAGUAGCUGACUAGUCUGUGCUCAGCUGCCCUCGCCCAGUCUUGAGAAUCUAAGACUCAAGAAGAAAGCCAGUCUUCCAGGAGGUAUCAGAGGAUGCCUGAACAGCCCUCCUCCUGCUCAGACAAGAGGUAGGGAGUGGCAGAUCUUUAAGCAUUUUAGCAGUUAGCAAAAUCUCAAGACAGCCAUAGGGUUGGAUCCUGUUCCUUCCAUGCAAGUGUUAGAGAGGAGAGCACACGACUUGUGGAGGACUCCCUUCAGCUUUCCUUGGCGUGUAUGUGCAGUGGGAUCAUUUAUUACUCAGCACAAGGGGCUAUGAGGAUGAGGAAAGACGUUCUAAAGGCAGUACCACUGUGCCACCUGCUCUUGCAGCCUGUGAGUACCAGACCUUUUAGAGCACAGGGAGGGGACUGAACGUCACUAAUGGGAAGGAGUAAAACAGGAUGAGAAUACAAGCAACAACUGAUUCCUUGGCACCCCACUACUUCAGUAGAAGUCUGUCUGUACCACUGUCUCAGACCAUAAGAUUCAUGGUUGUCAAUCCAGACCAUAGACCACCAGUUCAUGGGCGUGAACUGAGAAGAUGUCACUGUAAGGGUCCAAGGGCAGAGGGGUCAACAAGUAUGAGAAGCUCCCACGAUGACACUACAGCAAAGGGGAGGAAGCAGUUCAUUUUAUCAUGAUAGAUCGUGAGUGUAUUUCUGAUGCAGUUUUUGGAGAAAGAAAUGUGAGGCUGCUAUGCCAAGGAGAAGAAGUUAAGGAAAAUCUAGAGAAACAAUCUGACCGUGCUCACUAUACAACAGUUGUACGACCCUGAGCAGGCUGGCUAAUGGCACACGAUCUCGCUUAUGACCCGCUCAGAAGGGAGAUAAGAGAGACCAAAGUUGGGAAUGAUGGUGGCUGAUCUGCCUGAUGAGCCCCUCAACAUUCUGGUUGUCUUUUCCCAGCCAUUUCUACCUGUUUUGAUGUAUAAUCACAUCAAAUCCUUUCCUGCCAGACUUCAAAAGACACCACUACAAUGAAUCAUAAUCUGGGGCUUUAACUGAAAUAAUCACAACACGGCAAGUGAAGAGCAGGCUGUCUUGUGUCAUUAAAGCUUAAACAGCACGUAAGAGUGAGCAAGCAGGUGCGCCUGGGUGGCACAGUUGGUUGAGCAUCUGAUUCCUGGUUCCAGCUCAGGUUGUGAUCUAGGGGUUGUGAAACUGAGUCCUGUGUUGGGAUCCUUGCUCUGCGUUGAGGCUGGUUAAGAUUCUUUCCCUUUCCUUCUGCCCCCCACCCCCCAACCAGGGGUUGUUCACUCUCUCAAAUAAAUACAUCUCUAAAAAAAUAAUUUAAAAAAAGAACGAGCAAGGAAUCCCACUUAAAUACUCAUCAGGCCCUGUAACGAUCUAUAGAUUUAAUGCAAUUCUAAUAAAAAUCCCAUCACCUUUU